rnacentral:rRNA from 1 species
CGCGUAGGCGGUAAUAUGAGUGUGAUGUGAAAGCCCCGGGCUUAACCUGGGAAGUGCAUCGCAAACGAUAUGACUGGAGUAGAUGAGAGGGUGGCGGAAUUUCCGGUGUAGCGGUGAAAUGCGUAGAGAUCGGAAGGAACGUCAAUGGCGAAGGCAGCCACCUGGCAUCAUACUGACGCUGAGGCGCGAAAGCGUGGGGAGCGAACA